AGGGUUUAAUUCGAAGAGAACUUGUUCGGACUCAAAACAUUUAAAGACCUAGAGUUAACUAAAUCAAAACCUAAGGGACGCAGCAUUCGUUCACACUCCUCACACUCGCAUGAAACCUUGCCGCCGCACAAGCCUUGUCGUCUAUCGUUCCUCAACAGUCAACACUUCCUCCGUUUAGCCGCCAUGACUGCGAUGUCGUCUGUUACUUUUCUGUUCAGCAUUCGUCGACUACCAAUGUCUGCAUCUUGUAUUGUAUUUGUGUAUAACUGCCACUACCAAGACCCAGAUUAGAAUAUAGAGAGACAAUGAUUAGCUUCUUUUGAUUUAUGAACAUGAUUAUAAGAGCAAUUUUUCUAAAAGCAACUGGAAGGCAAGAACUUUGCUUAGUUUUCAACAUGACUUUUAUUAUUUUGUUUGAUUUGUUUAUUUCCUGUUGUAGCCUAUUAAUUACUGUAUUUUUGUGGGAGAUUGCAUUGCUAGAGAGAUUUUUGUUGCCUAUUAAUUUACUAUUUUAAUGACUAUGUUUGUUAUCUAUA